GAUGAACGCUGGCGGCGUGCCUAAUACAUGCAAGUCGAGCGAACAGACGAGGAGCUUGCUCCUCUGACGUUAGCGGCGGACGGGUGAGUAACACGUGGAUAACCUACCUAUAAGACUGGGAUAACUUCGGGAAACCGGAGCUAAUACCGGAUAAUAUAUUGAACCGCAUGGUUCAAUAGUGAAGGACGGUUUUGCUGUCACUUAUAGAUGGAUCCGCGCCGCAUUAGCUAGUUGGUAAGGUAACGGCUUACCAAGGUAACGAUGCGUAGCCGACCUGAGAGGGUGAUCGGCCACACUGGAACUGAGACACGGUCCAGACUCCUACGGGAGGCAGCAGUAGGGAAUCUUCCGCAAUGGGCGAAAGCCUGACGGAGCAACGCCGCGUGAGUGAUGAAGGUCUUCGGAUCGUAAAACUCUGUUAUUAGGGAAGAACAAAUGUGUAAGUAACUAUGCACGUCUUGACGGUACCUAAUCAGAAAGCCACGGCUAACUACGUG
rnacentral:rRNA from 1 species